rnacentral:rRNA from 1 species
UAGUCCACGCUGUAAACGAUGGUCACUAGAUGUCCGGUACUUCGGUACUGGGUGUCCAAGGGAAACCGAUAAGUGACCCACCUGGGGGAGUACGUCGGCAACGAUGAAACUCAAAGGAAUUGACGGGGGCCCGCACAAGCGGUGGAGCAUGUGGUUUAAUUCGAUGAUACGCGAGGAACCUUACCUGGGCUACAAUGCCUUUGACAGCUGGUGAAAGCCGGUUUUCCUUCGGGACAAAGUGCAAGGUGCUGCAUGGUUGUCGUCAGCUCGUGCCGUGAGGUGUUGGGUUAAGUCCCGCAACGAGUGCAACCCCUAUCCUUAGUUGCCAGCAAGUCAAGUUGGGGACUCUAAGGAGACUGCCUCCGCAAGGAGUGAGGAAGGCGGGGAUGACGUCAAAUCAUCAUGGCCCUUACGCCCAGGGCGACACACGUGCUACAAUGGACGGUACAGCGGGUAGCCAGCUUGCGAAAGUUAGCCAAUCUCUGAAAGCCGUUCUCAGUUCGGAUUGGAGU